GCACCUGCAAAAUCAGGUGCCGGGAUUGGCGUCCUGAAAGUGUGU
rnacentral:sRNA from 5 species